UACGUAGGGGGCAAGCGUUGUCCGGAAUCAUUGGGCGUAAAGCGCGUGUAGGCGGCUGAGUAAGUCUGCUCUGAAAGCCCGGGGCUCAACCCCGGGAGGCGGGUGGAUACUGCUCAGCUCGAGUCCGGAAGAGGAGUGUGGAAUUCCUGGUGUAGCGGUGAAAUGCGCAGAUAUCAGGAGGAACACCAAUGGCGAAGGCAGCACUCUGGGACGGUACUGACGCUGAGACGCGAAAGCGUGGGGAGCAAACGGG
rnacentral:rRNA from 1 species